CUGCCGCUAUGGGGCUGUGGGCUGUGGGGUUGUGGGGCUGCCGCUAUGGGGCGCUGCUCCGGCAGGGGACAUCCUGGAGAUCGGGGCGCAGUGGAGCAUCCUGAAGAAGGACAUCCCGUCCUUCGAGCGCUACAUGGCGCAGCUCAAGUGCUACUACUUCGACUACAAGGAGGAGCUCCCCGACUCGGCGUUCCGCCAUCAGCUGCUGGGCCUCAACCUCCUCUUCCUGCUGUCCCAGAACCGCGUGGCCGAGUUCCACACCGAGCUGGAGAGGCUGCCGGCCAGGGACAUCCAGACCAACGUCUACAUCCGCCACCCCGUGUCACUGGAGCAGGUGGGGGGCAGGGAAAUGUGGGGCAGGGGGGAGAUGUGGGGCAGAUAUGGGGCAGGGACAUCCAGACAAACGUCUACAUCCGC
rnacentral:lncRNA from 1 species